rnacentral:tRNA from 1 species
UCCUUGGUGGUCCAGCAGUUAGGACCUGGUAUUUUCACUGCCAGGACCUGGGUUCAAUCCCUGGCUGGGGAA